rnacentral:hammerhead_ribozyme from 1 species
CUUUGACGAGUCCUAAAUAGGACGAAAUGCGCAUCCUGGAU